AGUUGUUCCCAGCUCUGAACAUCCCAUGGGCUCUCAAGGCUGAUUUCUGUGCAAGCAGGAGUUGUUACUUUGGCAAAUGAAUAUUCAGCCAUGUGCUUAGAAAUCUCAUUUUCUCCCCUGGUACAAAGUGGGAACAACUGCAUGCAUUCUUGUUACGGUAUUUCUUCUUUAAUUUUCCUCCAUUUUGCACUCUUGCAAUCUCUGCAAUUAUAUUUGGCACAGUAAUUAUUAUUGUUCCAGUUGUAAUUCCUGCAACAGGGGAUCCUAAUGCAGUGUUGCUUGGUGCCUUGUGAACUCCAGCACUGGCUAUUUUCAUCUUUAAGCCACAGUUAAUCCAUGACCUUAGUGCUUUUGUCUCCGGGUCUGAAUUAUGCAAGUCCUGGAUCCCUCUUCUCUUGGAGCAGCUCAGCAGAGGAGCACAAAGACAUCAGUGCUGGCAUGGCUCACCCAGCAGCACACCUCUGGAAGACUGAAUGCUGCUCAGGCAACUCCACUCACUCCCCCAGCAUUGCUCAAGGCCUGCUACUCCCAUGCACGCCCCACCUAAAGAGCAGGAUGUGGCCUAUGUUUCCCGAUCUCAACCAGGCUAUGGCCCAUGCUCAGCCGCAGCAUAUCCCUCUUUUCCAAAGACCAAAAGUGUUGGGGCACAUGCGAACAUGGUGAGAAUGUUCUAGAAGACUGACAGGGGUUCAGUAAUCCCAGCAGCCCAACAGACUGGCACCACAGCACAGGAGCUGAAAUUGCAUUGAUGGUAAGGCAGAGAAGGCUGAGAAAAUAAGGCACUCUCACCGUGAUGCAGUGAUGUUUCAAGAUACCCAUUUAUUUUUCUUCCUCCGGAAGCCCCAGGACCACGGUGGCUUUUCAGGCUGUAUCAGGACACAGCAGAGCAUGGGAAGGGUGGGGAUGUCAUGCUCCUUCAUGAUCAGCCAGAGAAGGCUGCACAGCACCCCAGCAGGCUUCGCAGAUUGCAGUUAGCUGAGAAUAGUUUGGUGUCUUUCCUAUUCUGAGGACUUCUUUCUCAAUGUGUGUGUGAACGAGCAAGCAAUCAGCCAUUAGGACAGGAAGCUCACAGAACGGCUUGGGUUGGAAGGGACCCUAAAGAUCAUGUAGUUAUUUGCUGCACAAGCAUCACGUGUGGUGCAGGCUCGCUCACAACAGGUGAGUGCGUGGAGAUGCAGAGAUGCAGCCUUGUCUAGCUAUUCUGAAGAGCAGUUCCUUUGCAGAUGACUGCUUGCACCAGUUUUAAAGCUGGAUGCAAGAGACCCAUUGCUGUUGUUAGAGCUGGCUGUAUGCUGGCAACCCAAGGCUGGAAGCACUCUGGCUUUGCUGAGCCCAAGAAGGCAGCAUGAGUGAAUUACCUUAAAUUAAACACAGUUCAUACACAGAGGCAUAACAGAGGCACAGUGGGAGCUUUGUGCCGUUACAGGUUGCAUUAGAGAUGUGCUGAUGUAGAACUCUACCAGUGUGAAGACUCCUGCACAGCACUCAGCUGAGAUGUGACCUUUUCCUCCUGGUGAGCCUGCAGCAGCUACGCACGGCUUUGCAGGUGAUGAUCUGCUCACAUGUUCUUCUGUACUCAUCAAAUAAAAUCUACUAACAGCUGCAUAGGGCUUCAGCAUUUAGUUUAGAAUACUUGGGAGGCACUGUUUUGUCUAGAAGUGAAUUCUGAACUGAUUACUUUAAGGCUUUCCCUUACUGCAGAAAGUAGUGGUGCUUCUGUUCUUUGUUCCAAGGGAAGUGCAGGUGGUGGGAACUUGCACUUCCACAUCUCUUUUCUUUUGCCUCGAAAUUUCACAGCACCUUUCCUCAUGCUGGGGGAAAGAACAACCGAUGCCCGAGUGUGAGGGACAGCAGGAGACAAUGUUGAGUUGCACCUGGCUUUAAAGGAUGGCUACAAUUUUUAUCUAAAGCUUCCAAAUUGUAAAACAAAUAAACAAACUAAAAGAAAAGAAGACACCUUUUAGAUAAGGCAAUAAUGUUUCUUUUCCCUCAGGAUGCUGAAAACAGCACAACACGAAAACAACUCCAAAUGAAGUUGCUUAAAGUGCUUCCUAUCUGAGAAACGCAGGGGGAAAGUGAUGCUAUCAAAAGUGUUGCACGUGGGAUUCUUUGAGUAUGCGUUCACUUCUUCAAGAUUCCAUACCCGGCAUUUUUCUUUCUUUUUUUUUUUUAAUGCAACAAAACUCUGCUGCCUGUGAGUGAGGAAGUGGCUCUUCCUCCCAGGACCUCGCUCUGC
rnacentral:lncRNA from 1 species